rnacentral:lncRNA from 1 species
UGAAAACGUCUUCACUAUAGGAGCCAGGAGAGAUCUGAAGAGGAAUGUAAUCUCCUUCGUUGAAACCCCAAAUCCUAGCGACGUUCAUUCCCACCGCGGAGGCUUGCCGGAGCGCCGUCGUGACGGUAGCUCUUCCUUUAGAUGCCGUGUCAGCCGCGGUGGUCAUCAUCCAAUAAGCAUUGAAGCCGUUUAAGUAAACUUGUUCUCCGUUCAACACGAACUGCGUGCCGUUUCUCCCGACAAAGCCUGUCUUUACGGCGACGCAAAUGCGGUUGUUUCCGAUGAGAAACGGAAGAAAGAACAAGAAAAACGGUGAAAUACGAAACCUAGGGGUUCAUUUAGCAAUUUUCAUCAUAAAGGGAAAAAGACAUGUUUAUAUUUUCCAAGUAUGGAUCAAAGGCUCUAACAGCAACAAAUGGGAAACAAUGUCAAGAAACUGGGGACCUAAUCUAUCUGGCAAAGC